rnacentral:rRNA from 1 species
AGGCAAUCGCUCCACUACAAGAUGGACCUGCGUUUUAUUAGCUAGUAGGUGAGGUAACGGCUCACCUAGGGCGACGAUACAUAGCCCGACCUGAGAGGGGCGAUCGGCCACACUGGGAACUGAGAACACGGCCCCAGAACUCCUACGGGAGGCAGCAGUAGGGAAAUCUUUCGGCAAUUGGACGAAAAGUUCUGAACCGAAGCAAACGCCCGCGUUGAGUUGAAAGAAGAGUUUUUCGGAAUCGUAAAACUCUGUUGUUAGAGAAGAACAAGGAUGAGAGUAACUGUUCAUCCCUUGACGGUAUCUAACCAGAAAGCCACGGCUAACUACGUGCCAGCAGCCGCGGUAAUACGUGGGUGGCAAGCGUUGUCCGGAUUUAUUGGGCGUAAAGCGAGCGCAGGCGGUUUCUUAAGUCUGAUGUGAAAGCCCCCGGCUCAACCGGGGAGGGUCAUUGGAAACUGGGAGACUUGAGUGCAGAAGAGGAGAGUGGAAUUCCAUGUGUAGCGGUGAAAUGCGUAGAUAUAUGGAGGAACACCAGUGGCGAAGGCGGCUCUCUGGUCUGUAACUGACGCUGAGGCUCGAAAGCGUGGGGAGCAAACAGGAUUAGAUACCCUGGUAGUCCACGCCGUAAACGAUGAGUGCUAAGUGUUGGAGGGUUUCCG